rnacentral:piRNA from 1 species
UGCUUAAGGUCAGCCCAGUACUACGAAU